UAAUCAACCUGCCCUUCAGAGGGGGACAACAGUUGGAAACGACUGCUAAUACCGCAUACGAUCUAAACUCGGCAUCGAGGAUGGAUGAAAGGUGGCCCCUAUUUAUAAGCUAUCACUGAAGGAGGGGAUUGCGUCUGAUUAGCUAGUUGGAGGGGUAACGGCCCACCAAGGCGAUGAUCAGUAGCCGGUCUGAGAGGAUGAACGGCCACAUUGGGACUGAGACACGGCCCAGACUCCUACGGGAGGCAGCAUG
rnacentral:rRNA from 1 species